rnacentral:rRNA from 1 species
UACGUAGGUGGCAAGCGUUGUCCGGAUUUAUUGGGUUUAAAGGGUGCGUAGGCGGCCCUGUAAGUCAGUGGUGAAAUACUGCAGCUUAACUGUAGCAUUGCCAUUGAUACUGCAGGGCUUGAGUACAGAUGAGGUAGGCGGAAUUGAUGGUGUAGCGGUGAAAUGCAUAGAUACCAUCAAGAACACCGAUUGCGAAGGCAGCUUACUAAGCUGUAACUGACGCUGAGGCACGAAAGCGUGGGGAUCGAACAGG